rnacentral:lncRNA from 1 species
GUUCUUGGCAGCCAUGGGGAAAAGUGUCAGGCAAGUCCUAGGUGAGAGUUCCACUUCCUGCACUGACAGCUGACAAACGCUGAAGAGGACAGGCUGCCCUUAAACUGAGAGCCUUACUGAUGCCAAGGUCUCUCCACAAGAAGAGGACUAACACACUGAUUUUCAAAAGCCAAGCCAAGCUGACUCCCAGGCCAUGCUGAACAUCUCUGGGACGUUCCUGGUAGAAGCUGCCAGAAGAUGAGCGUAUUAUCCUAAGUUCUCACACCAGGAAGCAACUACACGAGCUCUAAGUCCAGUGCCAGCAGAGUCUGCUGGGCAGCGUUCUACUUCCUCAGGCUGUGUUCCCAGGCAAGAGUUAGGAGGACCAUGGAAUGACACCAUCUGAAGAUCACAAAAGAAACAACCCCACAUUCCAAUGCAGCGUCUGUUUGAUAAGUCAAAAUGAAAUAAAGGCCUUUCAUUGUUUCA